AGCGAACGCUGGCGGCAGGCCUAACACAUGCAAGUCGAACGAAGUCUUCAGACUUAGUGGCGGACGGGUGAGUAACACGUUGGCACGUGCCUUUCGGUUCGGAAUAACUCAGGGAAACUUGUGCUAAUACCGAAUGUGCCCUUCGGGGGAAAGAUUUAUCGCCUUUAGAGCGGCCCGCGUCUGAUUAGCUAGUUGGGGAGGUAAAGGCUCACCAAGGCGACGAUCAGUAGCUGGUCUGAGAGGAUGAUCAGCCACAUUGGGACUGAGAAACGGCCCAAACUCCUACGGGAGGCAGCAGUGGGGAAUCUUGCGCAAUGGGCGAAAGCCUGACGCAGCCAUGCCGCGUGAAUGAUGAAGGUCUUAGGAUUGUAAAAUUCUUUCACCGGGGACGAUAAUGACGGUACCCGGAGAAGAAGCCCCGGCUAACUUCGUGCCAGCCGCCGCCGUAA
rnacentral:rRNA from 1 species